GUUAUCAAGAAAGGCAGAGGGAUUAGACCCGUUGAAGCCUUAGCAACCCUCCUCCCGGAGAAGGUGCUACAUUCUACUCAUAUGUUGAGAUAGAUAA
rnacentral:ncRNA from 1 species